CCCUUAGAUGUCCUGGGCUGCACGCGCGCUACACUGAUGUGUCCAGUAAGCACCUAACCUCUUCCGAAAGGAACGGGUAACCUUUGCAAAGCACAUCGUGAUGGGGAUAGAUUAUUGCAAUUAUUAGUCUUGAACGAGGAAUUCCUAGUAAACGCAAGUCAUCAACUUGCAUUGAUUACGUCCCUGCCCUUUGUACACACCGCCCGUCGCGCCUACCGAUUGAACGUUCCGGUGAGACCUUGGGAUUUGGUCUUUGGUACUUUAUUGUGCCGUUGACCGAAAAACUUGAGCAAACCUUAACGUUUAGAGGAAGGUGAAGUCGUAACA
rnacentral:rRNA from 1 species